UAACCCAGGUAAACUGGAUGUCAGCAGCAGGAACUCUCUUCAGAGUCCAUUAAAAAGGAACUCGGCUUGGACGCCCAGGGAAGCAGAAGGUCCUGGUAGUCUCAAGCACUUGAAAUCCUCAAGCACUGAAGGGAAGGAAGAGCCAGUGAACAGAUGAAUCAUCCAGGGAUGAUGAAGAAGCAGUUAAUUGUGCCAAUGAUAGGUCUUGCUCCUGGACAGGUGAACAUUAAUGGGACAAUUCCAGAGGCUCCACAAGAGGGAUGACAACUGGUGCCUGAAGUUGUGUGCCAGGAAUCAUGUUGGUACUGAAGUCAGCAGUAGUACCGAAGCCACCAACGAUGUUGAGGAAGAGGGUGGGGAGUGACACCAUGGGUAACAACAGCAUUACCCUCAUCGGUACCUGACUCAACGAACGCCCCAUGGCCAAAAUAAAAAAUCGACAGUACGGAACCUUUGGCAUCUCUAUGUGAUACUGGGCAGAGGUUGGAAGGACCUGCUCCAUCCUGGAUACCAGCAACAUGUACUCUUUCUG